GCGUAUAUUAAGUUGCUGCAGUUAAAAAGCUCGUAGUUGAAUUUCGGGACCAUCAUGUCGGUCGCGCCUCGGUACGUACUGGCAUCGUCGGUUUCUCCCUUCUGACGAACCAUGAUGUCAUUUAUUUGGUGUCGUGGGGAAUCAGGACUGUUACUUUGAAAAAAUUAGAGUGUUUAAAGCAGGCUCACGCUUGAAUACAUUAGCAUGGAAUAAUGAAAUAGGACGUUUGAUUCUAUUUUGUUGGUUUCUAGGAUCGACGUAAUGAUUAAUAGGGAUAGUUGGGGGCAUUAGUAUUCAAUUGUCAGAGGUGAAAUUCUUGGAUUUAUUGAAGACUAACUACUGCGAAAGCAUUUGCCAAGGAUGUUUUCAUUAAUCAAGAACGAAAGUUAGGGGAUCGAAGACGAUCAGAUACCGUCGUAGUCUUAACCAUAAA
rnacentral:rRNA from 1 species